GAUUUAACUUAGCAAGCAGGUCGGAGCCUCCUAUUGUAUAAUUCCUGCAGGGUGAUCGUCUUCCAGCUGCAACAAGUUAUUUAAC